rnacentral:lncRNA from 1 species
UCAUAAAUAUAUUCUUUAUAACAUGUUACAGAUUCUUGGGGCUGUAACUUCCAAUUUUUCUACUUGUCUCAAUUCUUUAUGUUUUGUUGUAACUGGUAUUCAAAUGAUGGGUGAGUAUUACAGUGUAAGCAAUUUUAAAAGUUGAAUGAAUAUUUAUUUUCCUUUCUUCAAUUUCCCAUAAUGUUUACUUCCUUGUUUAUACAAUUGGAAUUUUUUGUAAUAUAUAUAUAUAUUUCCA